rnacentral:lncRNA from 1 species
GCGACGAGGGAGACGAGAGAUUUUUGGAACGGGAGCUGAACCGGGCGGUUCGAGCCAAACCGCCCGGUUCACCUGUUUUCACCUAAACCGCCCAGUUCAUCCGGUUUUCCCGGUCCACUUGCCCGACCGGUCCAGUGCGCUAGGAAGACCGCAGUGAGCUCCGGUUCCGAUUUUUCCCGGUCGGACCGCCGGUCCGGUCCGGUUUUCAAAACUAGGCUUGCACCUAGGUGCACCGGUCCCAAGUCCGGUCAGAAAGAGAGAAAACGGAAGAAAAAAUAAAAAUAGAUUGAGGAAAUAUAUCAUGAUUAGCAGUUUAGCACGUCA